GGGUGUGAUCAUACCAACACUAAUGCACUGGAUCCCAUCAAAAUCUGCAGUUAAACGAGCUUGGGCGAGAGUAGUACUAGGAUGGAUGACCUCCUAGGAAGUCCUCAUGUUGCACCCC
rfam:Populus trichocarpa isolate Nisqually-1 chromosome 17, whole genome shotgun sequence.